ACUCUGAACUCUUGAUAGUAACUGAGACUUUAAAGCAAAGUGUAUCCAUUCCUAUUCGAAUCAUAACAAUAGUACUAAUUGCCUUCAAGCCAUAUCGGCCACAUAAUAACUGUCUAUAUGCACACAAGUUAAUAAACGUAAAAAAUGUACCGCACACACUGAUCAAUGAUUAGAUUAUAAAAAACAAUUAUUUAAGAACAAAAAGUGAAAAUUAUUAAUGUGAUAAUUAUAAUAUAACAAUAAAAAUAGAAAAAGAAAAAGAAAUGAA